rnacentral:rRNA from 1 species
GAUGAACGCUGGCGGCGUGCUUAACGCAUGCAAGUCGAACGAAGCACUUUAUUUGAUUUCCUUCGGGACUGAUUAUUUUGUGACUGAGUGGCGGACGGGUGAGUAACGCGUGGGUAACCUGCCUUGUACAGGGGGAUAACAGUUGGAAACGGCUGCUAAUACCGCAUAAGCGCACAGCAUCGCAUGAUGCAGUGUGAAAAACUCCGGUGGUAUAAGAUGGACCCGCGUUGGAUUAGCUAGUUGGUGAGGUAACGGCCCACCAAGGCGACGAUCCAUAGCCGACCUGAUAGGGUGACCGGCCACAUUGGGACUGAGACACGGCCCAAACUCCUACGGGAGGCAGCAGUGGGGAAUAUUGCACAAUGGGCGAAAGCCUGAUGCAGCGACGCCGCGUGAGCGAAGAAGUAUUUCGGUAUGUAAAGCUCUAUCAGCAGGGAAGAUAAUGACGUUACCUGACUAAGAAGCACCGGCUAAAUACGUG